UGUCCAGAAACAUAUUUCACAUAAACUUCUUGAAAUCCUAACACUAAGCUCGACAAAUAAUAGUGGUUGAGUAAGAAAGUAAGGUCUAAGAAUUAGCUAAGGAAGCACUCAUUCUGGUCUCUACCCCUACACUAAAUUACUGUAUGUUCUUCAUGGUCCAGCUGAGGCCUCAAGUCCCUGUGUUCUAUCUGAACAGAAUGAAGAGAGAACCCAAGUUCAGUUCCCAGCACCAGUUUCAGGCUCCUCACAACUGGCAAUAACUCCAGCUCCAAGGAUCCAUGGCAACUUCUGGUCUCUGAACAGAUCUGGAUGUACAACUCCCAGCUCCUUCUCCAGCACUAUGUCUGCCUGCACGCCGCCAUGCUUCCCACCAUGGUGAUAAUUAUCUAAACCUCUGAAACUGUAAGCCAGACCCAAUUAAAUAUUUUUCGGUUUUUUUUUUUUUUUUUUGGUUUUGCUUUGUUUUGUUUUUAUAAGAACUGCUGUGGUCAUAGUGUCUCGUCAUAGCAAUAGAAACCUCAAAUAAGACAGAAAUUGGUACCAGGGACUAGGGUAUUCCUAUAAUAGGCUUGAGUGUGUUUUUGGUUGGAGGAAUGUAUAGUUUAAACUUUGGAAGAGAAAAGUAGCUGAAUACUUUAAGUGGGACUUAAUGGGCCAUCACAGUAGGAACAAAGAAGACAGCAGUGCUGGGGUGAUUUGAACUGUAGAGGCCUGAGUUCAGGAGGUUUCAGAGAAGAAUGUGGCCUAGAAACUAUUAUAUUUUGGUGAAGAAUGAGGCUGCUUUCUGCCCUUAUCCAAAAAAAAAAAAAAAAAACUGCCGGAGGCUAAAUUUACGUCUUUUGAAUUAAUUACAUUUGCAGAAGAAAUGUCAAAACAACUUAGUAUUGACUCUAUCACGUCAAUUAUUAGUGUUUAUCAUGUGGUUAUUAGUGUUUAUGCUUGUGAAAAUUUUAUAAUAAAAAGGAGCAAGCUAAGCAAGGAGAAAUAUAAAAUAUAGAAGAUGAAGAGCAAAGGGCACUGGGAAGUGGAAAGGAGUUAAGUCCUGUAUUCAAGGAGAUAAAAGAUUAAUGAAAAGCCUGCUGCUAAGGGAAAUAAAGGGAGUGGUGAUCUCAGAGCAAGACCCCCACCCAGCUAAGCUUCUGACUUGUAAAAAAAUGUAGUUAAAUAAAUGUGAAAAUGAAUUAAAGGAAAGCUUCAGGCCAGGCAUGGUGUGCAUACCUUUAAUCCAAAGAAAGAGGCUGGUAGAUCUCUAAGUUCAAGGCCAGUCUGGUCUACAGGGCAAGUUCCAGGACAGCCAAGCUUAGGCAGUGAAGGAACCCAUAGGAAACUAAGAGCUGGUAAAAACAUUUUCGAACAAGGGGGCUACGUUCCACUCUCAGGAAGCAGUAGAGCUUAGCAGCUUCAGUCAUGUAUGGUUUUGGCUUUAAAGUCAAGGAUAGAAGAAAGGAGUUAUGGAAACUCCCUCUGAGACUAACAAAAGCUUUUGAGGCCAGGCACGUGUCAGGAUUGUCCCUACGUGGGAGGCCUAGAGAGGCCACUGUGUGAAGCUAUGAUAUGAAGCCUGUAUUGCUCAGAGGCUCCAAGAUAAUGGAGAUGCUAGAGUUGUGGGAUGUCUGCCAAGGAAGUUUACUACCAGGAGUGGAAUAGCCCAAGAGAAAGAAGCGUGUUGCAGUCAACAAAGCUGAAAGGACUUGGAGAUCCAAUGAAUGUUUUGACAUCAGACAUGGAGAUGCAGAGUUUGGAGUCUGCUCAGAUGGCUGUCAGUCUUGCUUUGGUAUUUCCUCACUGUGCCCCCUUUGGGAGUUGUUAUAUGCAUCCUGUGCACUGUAUAUUAUAAGUAUGUGAUCUGCUUCUCACUUUAAUUUUACAGGGGAUUACAGUUAAGAGAUUGAAUAAGUCUCAGAACUGAGUUUGAACUUUAUAUUUUUAAAUAGUGCUGAUACUGUCAUAGGCUGUGGGAACUUUUGAAGUUAAACUAAAUGCAUUUUGCAUCAUGAUAUGGCUACAAGUUUAUGGGAGCCAGAGUGUGGAAUGUGGUUAUUUAAAAUAAAAAUGCUCCCCCCAAGGGUCCAUAGCAAGUGGCACUAUUAGAAUAUGUGGCCUUGUUGGAAUAUGUGUGGCUUUGUCCUAGGAAGUAUGUCACUAGGGUCUGGGCUUUCAGGUCUCAGCUCAAAACCAGGCCUAGUGGCACACAGUCACUUCUGCCACCUAAUUCAGAUGUAGAACUCUUAGUAGCUCCAGCACCGUGUCUGCCUGCACGCCACUAUGCUUCCCACCAUGUAGAUAACGGACUAAACCUCUGAAACUCUAAGCCAGAACCAAUUACAUGUUUUCCUUUAUAAGAAUUGCUGUGGUUGGGGCUGGAGAGAUGGCUCAGAGGUUAAGAGUACUGACUGCUCUUCCAGAGGUCCUGAGUUCAAUUCCCAGCAACCACAUGGUGGCUCACAACCAUCUGUAGUGAGAUCUGAUGCCCUCUUCUGGUGUGUCUGAAGACAGCUACAGUAUACUCAUAUAUAAUUAAUAAAUCUUAAAAAAAAAAAGAAAAAAAAAGAAUUGCUGUGGUCACAGUAUCUCUUCACAAUAAUAGAACCCUAAAUAGGACAAAUCCUCUUCACCACUAAGCCAUCUUUCCAGCACCCAACAACCACAAUUUUACUAAAACCAUAUUUUACUAAAACCAAUUUUACUAAACCCAGUGCUAGUAGAAAGACCACCGUUGUGGUACUAGUUGUAGUAUCCUGAAAGUGGAAUCACUUUUGUUCUCUAUAUUCUAAUUUUCCUAUUGACAUAGCUGCAAUUUACACACACCAAUCCUUACUACAAUAGUGAUGACUGUCUAACUCACAUCACACUUGCAUAACGAUCAACACACCAAAGAGGAUAAACUAUGUAGCCAGUAACAAAGCAGUUUUCCCUUGCACUGACCUCUCAGAAUAUGCAGUAGAAGAAAAAGACUUACUCAGAGUCUGUUAAAAUGUAAUGGGAAGGAACAAAGAUGAGUUAACAGAGAAAAUUUGAAUAAAUGGAAGAAUACUUUCCUUGAAAAGCAAAGAUGUCUGUUAUAAAUUUCUCAGUUCUCUACCAAUUUGUAACUGUCAUGAAAAGCCAAUCAAAACCUCAUUUGCCUUUCUGAAAUUUGAAUUCUGUUCCAACAUAUUUAGGAAAAUAAACAAAAAUCCAGAGCAUUUUUUCAGAACAAUGGUCUGAGCACUUGCUUUUUUGUCAAGUUCCCUAAAGUUGUUCCCUGAACAACUAACUACGAGUAGAUGAAAUAAGAACACAGGGAUGUAAAUGGGCGUACACGUGUGUAAAUGCUUUGACUCCAUGCCCAUGUGUGCAGGAGUCAGAUAUUCAAAACACCCAAUGAAAUACUUCAAAUCACACCCUGCUCGCAAGUUGGGAACUAAGAAUUAAAGCAGAAAUGAAUCAUUUCUUUGGGCACAGUAACUAAAACCAUGGAGUCUAAAAAUAAACUAAUUUCACAUCUGGGCUCAAAUAGAAUGCUUCCUACCUAGCAAUGUGCUUUCUCCUCCUUGUGUGCCUCAGCUUUCCUAAUCCCUAAGCCAAAAAUACAUGACAUGGAGAAAGGGAAAAUGUCUUCUCCCGGGACAAGCCUUCUGGUAUGUUGCCCAAUCCCAAUUGGUCAACUGGUCCCAUCUACUCCUCUGUCUCCUGCACUCCCUCUCAACUUCCUGACUCCUUACCAGUUACACUGUGUGUGUGUGUGUGUGUGUGUGUGUGUGUGUGUGUGUGUGUGCACAAAUAUCACCAGUUGAGUGGGUGCUCAACACCAUUCAGUGCAGCUCAUAUGCACAUAUGUUGAAGGCUGACACUUGGGGUUAGAUAGCCUGUUAGGAAGUUCAUUCCCAGAGAAGACUAAUCCUCUUUCAACGUCCAUCAAUUACCUACAGUCCUUCGUCUAGGGAUGGGGUCUUGUGAGAUUUCCUACAUUCAGGUUACGAAGUGUGUAAGUCUUGUUUAGAAGAGUGUGUUGCUAAGAUUUCAAGGGGAUGGGGGGUUUAUAGACAGGAAACUGGGAAGGGGAAUAAUAUUUGAAAUGUAAGUAAAGAAAUAUAUCUAAUAAAAAUUUAAAAAAUA